rnacentral:hammerhead_ribozyme from 1 species
GCACUGCUGAGGAGUCCCAAAAUAGGACGAAACGGUGGUCCAGUGA